rnacentral:misc_RNA from 1 species
AUUUGAUAUCAGAACCUUGAAAAAUGUCAUUCUUCCACUGUUUUCUUCAAAAUUUGCCUUAAAUUUACUGUUUGAAAAAAGAAACCUACUACCUAUUGCAAAUAAAGUCAUCAAGAUACAAAAUAGAGGAGAACAACACCGUUGCUUCACCUUAACCCCACCACUAGUCUCCCUAAACCCACCACUAGUCUCCCUUCACCA